rnacentral:lncRNA from 10 species
GGGUCUCGGGCAGGGGCGGGGAGCUUACCGACCUCCCGCCCCCGCUGCGCGCGUUUCUGGCCCUGCCAGUGUCUCCGCCGGUUGAAAGCGCGUGUCUGCGUCGGGUUCUGUUGGAGUGCGUUCGGUGCGCCGUGGGUCCGCGCUGCUUCCACCCAACUUCCUGUUAGGUUCUCUCCUGUCACAAUGGCAUGAUCUCGGCUCACUGCGACCUCUGCUUCCUGGGUUCAAGGAUUCUCCUGCCUCAGCCUCCCAAGUAGCUGGGAUUACAGGUGCAAUACCUCACUCAAUCUCUGUCUUUCUUGAAGAAGUCAUAAAUAAACACGAUGAAUCUAUGUAGAAGCGGAUUCCUUGUAGCAAGAUCCCUAGAGAAAGACUCAUAAUUUAUCUCUCAGUGUUCAUAAACUCUCAGGGCAAGUUUUAUUUGGCCUGACUUGGAUCACCUGCCAAUAUCUGAACGGAUUGCACACCCAGGAAUCUCACCAGUGACACGCGUUUGUGAAAAGCUGUGAAUAUUCAGUGCCACAGGGUUAAACCUCGGUACAGAAGCGAGACCCUGCUGGGCAGAGAAAGGGUGACCUGGAAGGUGUGUGAGGGCCCCGCCCAUGGGCCCCUGUGAUGGUCAUGGCCUCAAGAAUCACAGUCCAGGUGAGGCCCUGAAUAUCCACAGCCAGGACCAGUUCCCUCUGCUCUUGGGUGCCAAGGCCACCGUCAGCCAGGAGAGGCCUGCAGAAUCAGCCUGUGCACCUCUCUGACGAUAAGCAGAGAUGCUGGUUUAGAGACUUGCUACUCACGGGGAAGUCCUUGGGCCUCCUGUACUCACAUUACCUGGAACUUCUUGGAAAUUCAGAAUCUCAGGCCCCAACCCAGACGGACUGAAUCAAAAUCUUCAUUGUGGUAAGACCCUCGGUGACACACAGGCCUGGGAAGCACAGGUUAGCGUGUCACCUUGGGCAAAGCUCUCAGCAUUGUGAGCCUCUGUUUUCUACUCUGUAAAGGAGGCAUGAAUAUCUACAACAUCAGUUUGCCAUGAGUAUUGAAAAAUAAUGUCUUAGAAGCACAGGGCAGAGCCUGGCAUGUAGUUUGUGCUCAGUGCACAGCAGACAAGAAACCACAUGCACCAGACCUGGGCGGCCGUCGGCAGCCCACCCUGAGCAACCAUGGGUGGCCCUCUUGUCUCUCGGGACAAGAAAUGCUUCUUUAGAAAUGCUUCUUUCCUUUCUAAAAUGAAAGUUUUGGACAGUAUUUCCUUUCAUUUAAAAAUUUCAUCUGUGUAUUUGAUGGCCUCUGUUGUUUCACUGAGGGGCCCUCUGAGGCCCCUACUCUGAGAUUCUAAGACAGGGUUUGAAGAAUGUUCCAGCAUUUGAACACAUGAACCCUAUGAUGUCCUGCUGUGAGAGAGAACAAUGUCCCAAUUUUGCCCAGGAUUUCUCAUAGUCAAAACAUACUUUAAAUCUCCAAGAGGAUGAUACAGAGAGCCAUGUUUCCCAUAAUUAGUUGGCCCCAGAAACAGUUUCUUCUGGGAACAUUUUGUAAGAUUAGUGCUCCUUGAAACACACUGAGGGAGAGGCUAAACUGAGUGGUAGAGAUUCAUAGACUAUUUGGAUUCUGGCCCCAGAGUAUAAAAGGCCAGGGGGAAAGGACUGUGUUCCUGAGAUGGUGAGGUGGAGAAGGGGACGUGUUUCUCCACCACCCACAGAGAGGGCUGAGAAGCCCUGGCACACGGGCUGAAUCUGGGAGGUCAGAAGGUGAGGUGAGAGGACAGGAAGACAGCCCACGAGACUUCCAAAGGAAAUGGUUCCAUCAUUAUCUUCUAUGGAGUUCUUCAUUCCCACAUCUGUGGACCUUAAAAUCCUACCGUUGAGUGCCUGCCUUGGAUCAGCAGUCAGUUCGUUACCUUGGUUCUCAGACGAUGCUUGCAACAACGCCAUGCGAUUCGCCCACUCUUGGGGAAAAUAAGAGAAGUAUCCCUGAAGGAUGAAAUAUCCUCGAAUAUGAAAAGGUCUGCUCUCUGAAGACCAACUGUCUCAGUCUGCUUUUUGCUGCUGUAACAGAAUACCACAGACUUGGUCUCAGCCAGCAGGGUUGCCCAGUGCCCCUUGUCACCCCCCGAGCAACACAAGCCAGGCUGCGGUUACUCUGGGUCUGUGCGUCUGGGAUCAUAGUUUUUAAAUCUGCCCCAGGGUCCUCCAGUCCCAGCUGUGGAAAGUCACCCUCAGAGGGUGAGGCGGGCGGCGCGCCUCUGUGUGAGUGGCCCCAUCCUUCACAGCGAGUUUGUGUCUACUGAAUCGCAGACUCUGGGAGGCUGAAGGGUUACAGGAGGUCGUGUGUCUCACGUCGCCACUUCACGGUUGAGGACCCCGUGACCCGCUUUGCUCAGUGGCUGCGCAAGAUGAGUAAUGACCUGAAACAGGGAAAAUGUCUUGGAUACAUCUUGCGUAAUGAGGAGAAAAAUGCAGCCAUGUUGCAGCCUGAUAAAAUACUCUGCCAGUGUCCUGCCAUAAAAUGACAGGCGAAUUUUCAGUAGCAGAUUCUCUAAUAGUUCUGUGGUCUUCUAGGUGCUAAACUGUUUAAGUAUCUACAUUUUCUAAGCCCGCCUAAUGCAAAUAUUCUCAAAAAACAUAAACCCUUCAUUCUUUCUCAAAUAGGUUACAUUAGUUAUACACUCUGGAGGUGACUUGACCUGUCAUUGUGAACAAUUAUUGCUCUUGGACGACCCAGGACAUAGGCCAGCCAGUACGUACCCCAGUGUGUUGGAGAAUCGCGCUCGGCUUCUUCCUCUGUGCUGAGUCAUGAAAGUUGCCGGAGCAGGUGCAGUUACACAACCUCCAGGCAGUUUUUGGCAUAGGAUGACAGUCUGAAAUACACUUACUGAAUUUGAAUAAGAACGGGCUCAGGUAUGAUCCUGUUUAAGGACUGGAUUUAGGAUAACUACUUAGAGGUUAAAAGUCACAAGGGUGUAUGGAUGAGGCUGGAGUGAUCUGGGACCAAAGGCAUCUAGGCUUGCUGUCAAGGCUUCUGAUCAACAUGAGAUGACCGCCGUGUGGUAAACUGAUGAACCCUGACCCUGAUCAACAUGAGAUGACCGCCGUGUGGUAAACUGAUGAACCCCGACCCUGAUGAACGUGAGAUGACCGCCGUGUGGUAAACUGAUGAACCCCGACCCUGAUGAACGUGAGAUGACCGCCGUGUGGUAAACUGAUGAACCCCGACCCUGAUGAACGUGAGAUGACCGCCGUGUGGUAAACUGAUGAACCCCGACCCUGAUGAACGUGAGAUGACCGCCGUGUGGUAAACUGAUGAACCCCGACCCUGAUCAACGUGAGAUGACCGCCGUGUGGUAAACUGAUGAACCCCGACCCUGAUGAACAUGAGAUGACCGCCGUGUGGUAAACUGAUGAACCCCGACCCUGAUCAACAUGAGAUGACCGCCGUGUGGUAAACUGAUGAACCCCGACCCUGAUCAACAUGAGAUGACUGCCGUGUGGUAAACUGAUGAACCCUGACCCAUUAGGCUUUGGCUACAGAAUGUGGAAAUAAGUUGUGUUACUACAUGUGUGUAAUCCUAGGGUGCAGGACACCGGCCGGGAGGUUCCAUAGAGUGAUGGGUUCUGCAGGUAACUCAUCCUCUAGUCCUCUGUAAGCUCCUAGAAGGAAGAAAUUAUGUCCUUUAGACUAAUAAAAUUCCUCCAAACCAAAUACAGCACCUACUGUGAAGACACAAAGAUACUUUUAGAAUAGUAAAAACUUUAUCCAUUGAGAAAUUCCUUAAUGAAACAGUAUCCAAGAAGUCAUUUGCCAGCAGAUUUCUUAGAGGUGCGAUAAAGAAGAGGACAUUGCCAGUCGUCACAGCAGCUGCAAUAGCUCCUCUCUAUUGUUAAACAGUGGGAUAUCUUGUGCAGGUUUUCAGUUGACAAUCAAUUUUAAAGAUUAGUUUCGGUCCCCAUCAAUCAAUUAUUUAUUAACCCAUCAAUAAAAAUUUAAAUGCUCUGUGAGGUACAAUAGCUAUUAAAAG